GUGUGAGCAAGUGAAAUUGGAAAGAAACAGGCACAUGGGCAGCCACAGGGCAUUCGGGCUCUUUUGAAGUGCUGUGGUCUCAGCAAGGGAUGUUAGCCUGUGAGUCGAGCCUUUCUCAGUAAUGUUAAUUAUACAUGCUAGUUAUUUCUGCUAAAACGUGAUUUUAAAGCUCAAAUCUACUUAUGAAAUCAUACUAACACAUGGGAAAUCAUGCUUUCAUGGUCUGCUUUACUUAAAAAUAAGGAAGCAGGAAGGUAAUGUAGGACUGUGCAUUUCUUUAAUGAAACCACGCUUGGUGAUCCCGCCUGAUCAUGAGAUCACAUGCAGCAUCUCAGGUGCUUAAGACAGAAGAACAGGAAAUCAAAACUAGUCACCACCAGGUGUUCUCUGAGCACAGGCUUUCCUCCUCCCCAUCUCCCAGCAGGAGGCGCAGAGCUCCUGGGAUCACACUGACAAUCCCCCCUGUUCUGAGGCUCAACUGGACUACGCUGCACAUAAGUGCAUAUACAUGUGAACCAAUGUAGCGCCUCUACUUUCCUUGCUUUGCAAGACCUUCUGCAGCCUGUCAAAAGAUUUCCUGAUGAUGACGGCACAAUGCAAAGUCACGGGUGUUCCCUGAGCAGUCUGCAGCAGUUCUUUCUAGCUCCAAAUUUUCAGAUCUAAGCCUAGAUCUGCAUUGCACAUCCAAAUGGGCUUCUCUCCGCCUCCUGCCCAGCCCUCCCCCGCUCCCUGUACGCCGGACCCGCCCACCCGCAGAGUUCCUGGAUUUGCAAGUCUAGGCUGCACCCGGGACCAACCUUCAUGUUAAGCGCGAAGAACAAGCCACACUGUCCGAACUUUGAGAACGCCGCAGAGUUUGGAGAAUCACAAAUGUAAAAUGAACCCGGAAGCACAGAGAGCAGAGUCCUGUCUAGCGGGGUCAUACAGAAAGAGAGAGACUACAUUUCCCAGAAGUCUACGCGAAGGACUACCCGGAACCAAAGAAGGCAAAGAAUUUAAAGCGCAUGGAUUGUAUGUAACUGGAAUUAGGCUGCUUUUAAAAAUCCCAAAUUUACAAAGGGCAUUUUGGGAAUAUGAGUCCAGCCUUUAGCGGUAAUAUGUAUUAGAUUUACUUCUUACUCUGAUCAAUGCUGUGACUUAAAAAGCUCAGGGGUACCUAGAAUCUUAUGGGGGGCAGAAAAAAAAAUCACAUUGAGUCAAUUUUACUUUAAAAUAACGGAGCAAGAAGCUACUUUAGGGCACACCACAAACUCUUUAGGAUAGUUUUUGAAACCAAGUUUCCUGGAAAUAUUCUGAAAUCUCAGCUACUCUGGGGUUUGAGACAGAAGAAUCACAAGUCUAUGUCCCAAAUUACACAGUACCAAAAGAGAUGGGGGCUACUCACUGGUGAAACACUUGUCUGAAGUGAAGGAGGCCUUGGUUUAACAUCCAUUAUGACACUAAAUC
ensembl:antisense